rnacentral:rRNA from 1 species
AAAUUGAAGAGUUUGAUCAUGGCUCAGAUUGAACGCUGGCGGCAGGCCUAACACAUGCAAGUCGAACGGUAACAGGAAGCAGCUUGCUGCUUCGCUGACGAGUGGCGGACGGGUGAGUAAUGUCUGGGAAACUGCCUGAUGGAGGGGGAUAACUACUGGAAACGGUGGCUAAUACCGCAUAACGUCGCAAGACCAAAGAGGGGGACCUUCGGGCCUCUUGCCAUCAGAUGUGCCCAGAUGGGAUUAGCUUGUUGGUGAGGUAACGGCUCACCAAGGCGACGAUCCCUAGCUGGUCUGAGAGGAUGACCAGCCACACUGGAACUGAGACACGGUCCAGACUCCUACGGGAGGCAGCAGUGGGGAAUAUUGCACAAUGGGCGCAAGCCUGAUGCAGCCAUGCCGCGUGUAUGAAGAAGGCCUUCGGGUUGUAAAGUACUUUCAGCGGGGAGGAAGGUGUUGCGGUUAAUAACCGCAGCAAUUGACGUUACCCGC